GUUCUGCUGUGAUGAAUUAUGAAUAAUUCACAUGUCAGACUUCAGAGAUUCUGACAUUAAUGAGAAAGAAAAUUCAUACAUUCUGAGCAAGAA